ACCGCCGCGCCCGCCCGAGCGGCUCAGAGGGCUUCGAGGGCUCCGAGGUCGCCCAGCAGCCGCGGUGGCCCCGCUGCCUGCAAGUCCGCCUGGCUCCGAGUCACGUGUCAGUGCCCGAGGCAGAGACUGAGAAAAAAACGCGCUUCAUUCCUUCUUCCACCGCCAUACUGUAUUUUCCUAAAUCUCAUUUUUAUUCCAACAUUUUACUCCCGCUCGGUGGGAUUUUCCAGCAGUGUUCACAAGUUUGUCGUCUUGCAAUUCGAUUCGCACCACUGAGCAAAGACAUUAAUUUUGCAUUUUUAUGACCUUUUUGGAAGCCUGUGAGAAAUAUUUCGUUUUUUCCCCUCCUGUUUUUGAUAUCAGUUGAUAACAUGAAACUUUUCUUGCAGCUAGUUAAAGGGAUUAUUUUUAAGCAGUUGCUUUUUUUCCUCCUUUACAUUAACUAUUACUUUUGC
ensembl:lincRNA